rnacentral:rRNA from 1 species
AACGAACGCUGGCGGCAGGCUUAACACAUGCAAGUCGAACGCAUGCCUUCGGGCAUGAGUGGCAGACGGGUGAGUAACGCGUGGGAACCUACCCCUUGGUACGGGAUAGCUCCGGGAAACUGGAGAUAAUGCCGUAUGUGUCCUGAGGGACAAAGAUUCAUCGCCAAGGGAUGGGCCCGCGUCGGAUUAGCUAGUUGGUGGGGUAACGGCCUACCAAGGCGACGAUCCGUAGCUGGUCUAAGAGGAUGAUCAGCCACAUUGGGACUGAGACACGGCCCAAACUCCUACGGGAGGCAGCAGUGGGGAAUAUUGGACAAUGGGCGCAAGCCUGAUCCAGCCAUGCCGCGUGAGUGAUGAAGGCCCUAGGGUUGUAAAGCUCUUUCACCGGUGACGAUAAUGACGGUAACCGGAGAAGAAGCCCCGGCUAACUUCGUG